CCAGUGAGUGGCGGACGGGUGAGUAACACGUAGGUAACCUGCCCCGGAGCGGGGGAUAACAUUUGGAAACAGAUGCUAAUACCGCAUAACAACAAAAGCCACAUGGCUUUUGUUUGAAAGAUGGCUUUUGGCUAUCACUCUGGGAUGGACCUGCGGUGCAUUAGCUAGUUGGURAAGGUAACGGCUUACCAAGGCGAUGAUGCAUAGCCGAGUUGAGAGACUGAUCGGCCACAAUGGAACUGAGACACGGUCCAUACUCCUACGGGAGGCAGCAGUAGGGAAUCUUCCACAAUGGGCGCAAGCCUGAUGGAGCAACACCGCGUGAGUGAAGAAGGGUUUCGGCUCGUAAAGCUCUGUUGUUGGAGAAGAACGUGCGUGAGAGUAACUGUUCACGCAGUGACGGUAUCCAACCAGAAAGUCACGGCUAACUACGUGCCAGCAGCCGCGGUAAUACGUAGGUGGCAAGCGUUAUCCGGAUUUAUUGGGCGUAAAGCGAGCGCAGGCGGUUGCUUAGGUCUGAUGUGAAAGCCUUCGGCUUAACCGAAGAAGUGCAUCGGAAACCGGGCGACUUGAGUGCAGAAGAGGACAGUGGAACUCCAUGUGUAGCGGUGGAAUGCGUAGAUAUAUGGAAGAACACCAGUGGCGAAGGCGGCUGUCUGGUCUGCAACUGACGCUGAGGCUCGAAAGCAUGGGUAGCGAACAGGAUUAGAUACCCUGGUAGUCCAUGCCGUAAACGAUGAGUGCUAGGUGUUGGAGGGUUUCCGCCCUUCAGUGCCGGAGCUAACGCAUUAAGCACUCCGCCUGGGGAGUACGACCGCAAGGUUGAAACUCAAAGGAAUUGACGGGGGCCCGCACAAGCGGUGGAGCAUGUGGUUUAAUUCGAAGCUACGCGAAGAACCUUACCAGGUCUUGACAUCUUGCGCUAACCUUAGAGAUAAGGCGUUCCCUUCGGGGACGCAAUGACAGGUGGUGCAUGGUCGUCGUCAGCUCGUGUCGUGAGAUGUUGGGUUAAGUCCCGCAACGAGCGCAACCCUUGUUACUAGUUGCCAGCAUUAAGUUGGGCACUCUAGUGAGACUGCCGGUGACAAACCGGAGGAAGGUGGGGACGACGUCAGAUCAUCAUGCCCCUUAUGACCUGGGCUACACACGUGCUACAAUGGACGGUACAACGAGUCGCAAGCUCGCGAGAGUAAGCUAAUCUCUUAAAGCCGUUCUCAGUUCGGACUGUAGGCUGCAACUCGCCUACACGAAGUCGGAAUCGCUAGUAAUCGCGGAUCAGCAUGCCGCGGUGAAUACGUUCCCGGGCCUUGUACACACCGCCCAGUCGACGACCAUGGGAGUUUGUAACGC
rnacentral:rRNA from 2 species